AUGCCUGUGCUUCUCCUUUCAGGAUACUCUGCUUGGUUGUGGAUCUAUGUGCUUCUCUCUCCAGGACACUGCUUGGUUGGGAUCUCUUUGCUUCUCUCUCCAGGACACUCUGCUUGGUUGGGAUCAUCUGUCUUUCUCUCUCCAGGACACUCUGCUUGGUUUGGGAUCUCUUUACUUCUCUCUCCAGGACAGUCUGCUUGGUUUGGGAGCUAUUGCUUCUCUCUCCAGGACACUCUGCUUGGUUUGGGAGCUCUGUGCUUCUCUCUCCAGGACACUGCUCUUGGUGCGGAUGCCUGUGCUUCUCUCUCCAUGACACUCGCUGGUUUGGGGAUCUCUGUGCUUCUCUCUAGGACACUGCUUGGUUGGGAUCUUCGUGCUUCUCUCUUUAGGGACACUGCUUGGUUUGGGAUCUCUGUGCUUCUCUCACAGGACACGCUGCUUGAUUUGGGGAUCUCUGUACUUCUCUCUCCAGGACACUCUGCUUGGUUUGGGAAUCUCUGUGCUCCUCUCCAGGACACUGCUUGGUUUGGGGAUCUCUUUGCUUCUCUCUCCAUGACACUCUGCUUGGUUUGGGAUCUCUAUGCUUCUCUCUCCAGGACACCCUGCUUGGUUUGGGAUCUCUGUGCUUCUCUCUCCAGGACACUGCUGGUUUGGGGAUGCCUGUGCUUCUCUUUCCAGGAUACUCUGCUUGGUUUGGGAUCUAUGUGCUUCUCUCUCCAGGACACUGCUUGGUUUGGGGAUCUCUUUGCUUCUCUCUCCAUGACACUCUGCUUGGUUGGGAUCCCUAAGCUUCUCUCUCCAGGACACUCUGCUUGGUUUGGGAUCUCUGUGCUUCUCUCUCCCAGGACACUCUGCUUGGUUUGGGAUUCUCUUACUUCUCUCUCCAGGACACUCUGCUUGGUUUGGGAGCUAUGUGCUUCUCUCUCCGGACCCACCUGCUUGGUUUGGGAGCUCUGUGCUUCUCUCUCCAGGACACUCUGCUGGUUUGGGAGCUCUGGUGCUUCUCUCUCCAGGGCACUCUGCUUGGUUUGGGAGCUAUGUGCUCUCUCCUCAGGACACUCCGCUUGGUUUGCGAUCUCUGUGCUUCUCUCUCCAGGAUACUCUGCUUGGUUUGGGAUCUCUGUGCUUCUCUCUCCAGGACACUGCUUGGUUUGGGGAUCUCUUUGCUUCUCUCUCCAGGACACUCUGCUUGGUUUUGGGAUCUCUGUGCUUCUCUCUCCAGGACACUCUGCUGGUUUGCGGAUGCCUGUCCUUCUCUUUCCAGGAUACUCUGCUUGGUUUGUGAUCUCUGUGCUUCUCUCUCCAGGACACUCUGCUUGGUUUGGGAUCUCUGUGUUUCUCUCUCCAGGACACUCUGCUUGGUUUGGGAUCUCUGUGCUUCUCUCUCCAGGACACUCUGCCUGGUUGGGGAUCUCUGUUUAUGACUUGCCUUGUUGCAAUAUUGUUGAUGAUAAACAGAGCUAA
rnacentral:lncRNA from 1 species